rnacentral:rRNA from 1 species
GGGGGAAAAAUUAAUAGAUAUAAAUAAUAAUAAAAAUAAUUUUAAUAAAUAAUAUAUUAUAUUUUAAUGGGGGUUAAAGUAUAUUUAUAGAAAAAAUUAAAAAAUUUAUAGAGAAUUAGUAUUGUGAAAGAAUUUUGAAAUAAUUUAAAUAUAUAAUUAAUGAAAAAGUAAAUUUUAUUUGUUGUAUCUUGUGUAUCAGAGUUUAUUAAAAAAAAUUUUUUUAUAAAAAAUUCUCGAAUUUAAAAGAGAUAAUUAAUUAUAAAAGUUAUUGUGUCAAAAAUAUUUUAAAUAAUUAAUUUGAAAUGAAAUGUUAAUCGUUUUUAAAUAUAUCUAGUUUUUUUAGAAAUAAAUUUAAUUUAUAAUUUAUAAAAAAAAAAAUUAAAUAUUUAAUUUUUUUUUUUAUAAAUUAAAUAUUUUAAGGGAUAAGCUUUAAAUUAAAUUAUUAUAAUUAAAAUUUAUUUUUUAAAUUUUUUAGAAUUUAUAUUGUUAAAUAAAUUAUAUUUUUUUAUAAAAAAAUUUAUUUAAAAAAAAAAUUUAAAUUUAAUUUAAUUUUUUAUAAAAAAAUAAAUUUUAAUUAAAAAAAUUUAAUUAUAAUGAUAAAAUUAGUAUAUAUAUAAAUAAAUUUAAUAUAAUUUAAAUUUUAUUAAUUAAGUAAAAGGAAUUCGGCAAAUAUUUAUAUUCACUUGUUUAACAAAAACAUGUCUUUUUGAUAAUAAUUUAAAGUCGAAUCUGCCCACUGAUAUAUUAUUAAAGGGCUGCAGUAUAUUGACUGUACAAAGGUAGCAUAAUCAUUAGUCUUUUAAUUGAAGACUUGUAUGAAAGAUUUGAUGAAAUAUAAACUGUCUCUAAUUUAUAGUUAGAAUUUAAUUUUUUAGUUAAAAAGCUAAAAUAUUUAUAAAAGACGAGAAGACCCUAUAGAGUUUUAUAUUAAAAAAUAAUUUUAAUUUUAUAUAAUAAUUUAAUAAAAAAUUUAUUUUAAUAUUUUGUUGGGGUGAUAAAAAAAUUUAAUAAACUUUUUUUUUUUUAUUACAUUAAUAAUUGAUUUAUUGAUCCAUAAUUUAUGAUUAUAAGAUUAAAUUACCUUAGGGAUAACAGCGUAAUUUUUUUUUUUAGUUCAAAUAAAAAAAAAAGUUUGCGACCUCGAUGUUGGAUUAAGAUAAAAUUUAAAUGCAGAAGUUUAAAAUUUUGAUCUGUUCGAUCAUUAAAAUCUUACAUGAUCUGAGUUCAAACCGGUGUAAGCCAGGUUGGUUUCUAUCUUUAUAAAAUUAAAAUAUUUUAGUACGAAAGGAUUAAAUAUUAAAAAUAAUUUUAAAUUAAGAAUAAUAUUAAUUAUAAAUAUAUGUAUAUAUAUAUAA